CNGCUAACUCCGUGCCAGCAGCCGCGGUANUACGGAGGGUGCAAGCGUUACUNGGAAUCACUGGGCGUAAAGGACGCGUAGGCGGAUUAUCAAGUNUCUUGUGAAAUCUAACGGCUCAACCGUUAAACUGCUUGGGAAACUGAUAAUCUAGAGUAAGGGAGAGGCAGAUGGAAUUCUUGGUGUAGGGGUAAANUCCGUAGAUAUCAAGAAGAAUACCUAUUGCGAAGGCGAUCUGCUGGAACUUAACUGACGCUAAUGCGUGAAAGCGUGGGGAGCAAACAGGAUUAGAUACCCUGGUAGUCCACGCCCUAAACGAUGUAUACCGGUUGUUGCUGUGCUAGUCACGGCAGUAAUCCACCUAACGGAUUAAGUAUACCGCCUGGGGAGUACGGUCGCAAGAUUAAAACUCAAAGGAAUAGACGGGGACCCGCACAAGCGGUGGAGCAUGUGGUUUAAUUCGAAGAUACGCGAAGAACCUUACCCGGACUUGAUAUCUAACAAAUCAUCCAGAGAUGGAAGAGUGUCUGCUUGCAGAAAUGUUAAGACAGGUGCUGCACGGCUGUCGUCAGCUCGUGUCGUGAGAUGUUGGGUUAAGUCCCGCAACGAGCGCAACCCACGUCAUUAGUUGCUAACGGUUCGGCCGAGCACUCUAAUGAGACUGCCUUCGUAAGGAGGAGGAAGGUGUGGACGACGUCAAGUCAUCAUGGCCCUUAUGUCCGGGGCGACACACGUGCUACAAUGGCAUAUACAAUAAGACGCAAUAUCGCGAGAUGGAGCAAAUCUAAAAAAUAUGUCCCAGUUCGGAUUGGAGUCUGCAACUCGACUCCAUGAAGCCGGAAUCGCUAGUAAUCGUAGAUCAGCCAUGCUACGGUGAAUACGUUCCCGGGUCUUGUACUCACCGCCCGUCACACCAUGGGAGUUGAUUUCACU
rnacentral:rRNA from 1 species